CUACAUCAAAAAUUCUCCUUAUAACCUAUGUGAAUACUUAAGUAAGUUCACUCUAGAAGAAAUUGAUAAGUUAGUGGUAGAUAUGUUGAUAGGCAUUCAGAUGAAAUUGAUGCCCAGAAUUCAGGUGAAGUUGGAUAAGUUAAGAGAUUACAAUGUGUCAUGCCAGCCAUAUCGUUAAUCCUUUCAAUUUUGCAAGCAUCGUUUACUCGAUGAUGGAUGGGGUACCAAUUUUCAAAGUUUAGUGACUUACAUGGCUAGUUUUGAAGUUCAGUGACCAUUUAGGGAAUUUACCCAAUGUUAGACAGAAAAUACAUUCCAUUCUCAUUGCUGUUUUGGUCAAGAGGAGAAAGUUGGUGGCGAGUAGCUAAGCAGAUCAUGAAGAACUGAACUUCUAAAAGAAUCUCCUCUACUAUGGAUUCAGAGUUUAGUCCAACAUAGACAUGACCUUUCUAGACAAAUUGCUGCAGGCAGAAUGUCAUUUGCUGUUUUAGAAUUAGUAAAAAACUAGAGAAGGUAUUCAAGUUUCAGACUGCGUAAAUGUUAUUAGUACGACCUACGUUACAUCUAAACAUAAAACUGCACCUCUAAACCUGAGGAUAGUACUUGGGAUCUUCCAACCUUGUUGGUCGAGCCAAUAUGCUUUCCUUCAGAAGCCACUUGCAUGUGACGGACAGCUAAUAGUUUCUUGAGUGAACCAAGCCACAACUGAGGCUGAGGAUAAGUGAUUCUUCAAUCGUGGUGUAAAAUAGGUCUAAAUUGUGAUUUAAAUCUCCAAAGUGAUUGAAAACAUGUAAAUUUUUUGUAGAAUUCACAUCUUUUUUUACGGUUACAAGAGAUAAAAAGUGAAUCUAGAUCAUUCAUUU
rnacentral:lncRNA from 1 species